rnacentral:rRNA from 1 species
GACGAACGCUGGCGGCGUGCUUAACACAUGCAAGUCGAACGGAAAGGCCCUGCUUUUGUGGGGUGCUCGAGCGGCGAACGGGUGAGUAACACGUGAGUAACCUGCCCUUGACUUUGGGAUAACUUCAGGAAACUGGGGCUAAUACCGGAUAGGAGCUCCUGCUGCAUGGUGGGGGUUGGAAAGUUUCGGCGGUUGGGGAUGGACUCGCGGCUUAUCAGCUUGUUGGUGGGGUAGUGGCUUACCAAGGCUUUGACGGGUAGCCGGCCUGAGAGGGUGACCGGCCACAUUGGGACUGAGAUACGGCCCAGACUCCUACGGGAGGCAGCAGUGGGGAAUAUUGCACAAUGGGCGGAAGCCUGAUGCAGCAACGCCGCGUGCGGGAUGACGGCCUUCGGGUUGUAAACCGCUUUCGCCUGUGACGAAGCGUGAGUGACGGUAAUGGGUAAAGAAGCACCGGCGAACUACGU